rnacentral:lncRNA from 1 species
GAAGGUGGCUGUGCUAGAAGCCUCAGCUGGACUGGAUAUCAAACUAGAAUGGGACUGGGAAGAGGAGUGUGCUCGGGCUGGGACCAUGGGUAACAUGAAAGAGAGUAUUUGUUUCUCUGGAAAACAUCGUCUCAAGUUACAAGCCAAGCUGCCUCUAGAUGUCCCUUUUCAACUCAUUCGAAAAAAAUACAGGGCUAUGUCCAAACCUCAAUGUUGAAAGCAUUUAGGAGGAUAUCCAAUUCACAGCCCACAGGCCCACUUCCAAGAAAAGAAACAAAUAAUGCAAAUGAUUACCUAUUAUCUUUUGCUCUGACAUCUCUCAAGCAAGUCUGGAGACCUUCUUUCCUCAUUCUGAAACCACAUCUCAAACUUCUGCCUAGCACGCUCUCCGCCCAGGCUCCUCAAUUCCCGUCUCUGACAAAGCCAUGCUUUGCUGCCUCUCUGAGGGAGUGACUCUGGGGACCUGUCCCUGCCUAUUUUGGGGUAGCCUGAAGAUCCAGCAGCUGCACGUCCUCUGGUCCUUUGCUCAUAAAGACAGCUGUGGCCAGUGCUCCUUGGAAAGCUGGGCUCUGUUCUCACUUUGAUUGCUUUUCUUAUGGGAAAAACUCCUAAACCUCUUUCAGAAAAAGAUAUCCACCUUCCACCUAAGCAAAACCUUCUGGGGUUGAUAAGUGAAAAUAAAACAGCCUCAGAGUUGUAAAUGAUUCACACAUUCAUGCAGAGUUCUGUAUACG